CGACCAGUCACUUGAGCAGCCA
rnacentral:siRNA from 1 species